rnacentral:rRNA from 1 species
AGUGAACGCUGGCGGUAUGCCUAACACAUGCAAGUCGAACGGCAGCACAGUAAGAGCUUGCUCCUGCGGGUGGCGAGUGGCGGACGGGUGAGGCAUAGAUCGGAAUCUACUUUGUCGUGGGGGAUAACGGAGGGAAACUGACGCUAAUACCGCAUAUGACCUACGGGUGAAAGCAGGAGAUCUUCGGACCUUGCGCGAUUGAAUGAGCCGAUGUCGGAUUAGCUUGUUGGCGGGGUAAAGGCCCACCAAGGCAACGAUCCGUAGCGGGUCUGAGAGGAUGAUCAGCCACACUGGAACUGAGACACGGUCCAGACUCCUACGGGAGGCAGCAGUGGGGAAUAUUGGACAAUGGGCGCAAGCCUGAUCCAGCCAUACCGCGUGGGUGAAGAAGGCCUUCGGGUUGUAAAGCCCUUUUGUUGGGAAAGAAAAGCAGCAGGUUAAUCCCCCGCUGUUCUGACGGUACCCAAAGAAUAAGCACCGGCUAACUUCGUG